rnacentral:rRNA from 1 species
CCAGACUCCUACGGGAGGCAGCAGUGAGGAAUAUUGGUCAAUGGCCGAGAGGCUGAACCAGCCAAGUCGCGUGAGGGAAGACGGCCCUACGGGUUGUAAACCUCUUUUGUCGGGGAGCAAAGCGAGUCACGUGUGACUCAUUGAGAGUACCCGAAGAAAAAGCAUCGGCUAACUCCGUGCCAGCAGCCGCGGUAAUACGGAGGAUGCGAGCGUUAUCCGGAUUUAUUGGGUUUAAAGGGUGCGUAGGCGGAACAUUAAGUCAGCGGUAAAAUCGAGGGGCUCAACCCCUUUAAGCCGUUGAAACUGGUGAUCUUGAGUGGGCGAGAAGUAUGCGGAAUGCGUGGUGUAGCGGUGAAAUGCAUAGAUAUCACGCAGAACUCCGAUUGCGAAGGCAGCGUACCGGCGCCCAACUGACGCUCAUGCACGAAAGCGUGGGUAUCGAGCAGGAUUAGAUACCCUCGUA